rnacentral:rRNA from 1 species
AUUGAACGCUGGCGGCAUGCUUUACACAUGCAAGUCGAACGGCAGCGGGGGCUUCGGCCUGCCGGCGAGUGGCGAACGGGUGAGUAAUGCAUCGGAACGUACCCAGUCAUGGGGGAUAACUACGCGAAAGCGUAGCUAAUACCGCAUACGCCCUGAGGGGGAAAGCGGGGGAUCGCAAGACCUCGCGUGAUUGGAGCGGCCGAUGUCGGAUUAGCUAGUUGGUGGGGUAAAGGCCUACCAAGGCGACGAUCCGUAGCGGGUCUGAGAGGAUGAUCCGCCACACUGGGACUGAGACACGGCCCAGACUCCUACGGGAGGCAGCAGUGGGGGAAUUUUGGACAAUGGGGGGCAACCCUGAUCCAGCCAUGCCGCGUGAGUGAAGAAGGCCUUCGGGUUGUAAAGCUCUUUACCCGGGUACUGAUAAUGACAGUACCGGGAGAAUAAG